GCCUUCGUGGUGUAGUGGUCAGCACGCUCGACGCGUAACCGAGAGAUCCCUGGUUCGAUUCCCGGCGAAGGCG
rnacentral:tRNA from 1 species